UGCCAGCAGCCGCGGUAAUACGGAGGGUGCAAGCAUUAAUCGGAUUUAUUGGGUGUAAAGGGCGCGUAGGCGGAAGUAGAAGUCGAGUGUGAAAUUUCAGGACUCAAUCCUGAAGGGGCACUUGAAACUCUGCAUCUAGAGGAUAGACGGAGGAAACGGAAUUCCACAUGUAGCGGUGAAAUGCGUAGAUAUGUGGAAGAACACCAGUGGCGAAAGCGGUUUUCUAGUUUAGACCUGACGCUGAGGCGCGAGAGCAAGGGGAGCAAACAGGAUUAGAUA
rnacentral:rRNA from 1 species